rnacentral:rRNA from 1 species
CCUACGGGCGGCAGCAGUGAGGAAUAUUGGUCAAUGGGCGCAAGCCUGACCCAGCAACGCCGCGUGAAGGAAGAAGGCUUUCGGGUUGUAAACUUCUUUUCUCAGGGACGAAGCAAGUGACGGUACCUGAGGAAUAAGCCACGGCUAACUACGUGCCAGCAGCCGCGGUAAUACGUAGGUGGCAAGCGUUAUCCGGAUUUACUGGGUGUAAAGGGCGUGUAGGCGGGGACGCAAGUCAGAUGUGAAAACCACGGGCUCAACCUGUGGCCUGCAUUUGAAACUGUGUUUCUUGAGUACUGGAGAGGCAGACGGAAUUCCUAGUGUAGCGGUGAAAUGCGUAGAUAUCUGGAGGAACAUCAGUGGCGAAGGCGACUAUCUGGCACAUAACUGACGCUGAGGAGCGAAAGCGUGGGUAGCAAACAGGAUUAGAUACCCUUGUAGUC